AAUCUACUCCCUCCGUUCCAAAUUACUUGUCGUAAAAAUGGAUGUAUCUAGAACUAAAAUACAUUUAGAUACAUCCAUACUUGCGAGUUGCGACAAGUAAUUCGAAACGGAGGGAGUACCUA
rfam:Triticum urartu cultivar G1812 contig1005499, whole genome shotgun sequence.